CUGAUUUGGUGGUGAUGACCACCUCUUCUAAUUAAGUACUAUCUCAUAUCUGUGCCACACUGUGCAAAUCACUUCACCUCUCAGUGCUUCAGUUCCCUAGUCUUAACAGUACAGCCCUCUCUGGGAUAUUGUGAGAACUUCAAGGUGGUAAUACAGCUGGUGGGGUGAGGCCACAAUGAGAGCAGUCAAUGGAGCAUAGCUGCAAGGGAGCCUAGCAUUAAAAGAUGAAAGCCAGUGAGUCCUUUAUUGGAACCGACGAUUCCGUGAGCUUGAUUCCAGGCAAAGGCUGCAAACGAAAGUGAACAGCCACCAAGUCAACCUGUGAUUGGCCUUGGUCCAGACAUCUCACCUACCCUGGACCUGCCUCUGCCAUUAUUAUUGUCAACAGCAAUAGGAAGAAGUUGACUAAGGAAGACCCUUGGGAUAAGAUGGGAAUUUCCUAGGAGGGGGCAACCCUUCCAUCCAGACAGGAAAGCAGGAUCAAACACUGGAGAGUAAUGGCCGUCAGCAAUUCCAGUGCUUCAGGUAAGAAAUAAGCCAGACUCUUCAUCCUGACACCUGGCUGAAGUGGGAGUAUCUAGGAGGAUUGGGAGAUUUGAUGGGACUCAGGGAGCCUAUUUUUUUAUUUUUGAAAAUAAGAUGGUGGCAUGUGCCAAACAUUUGUUGCUGGACGGCCAUGUGGCCACGGAACGGAGAUGCAGACUUUGACAGGAGAACUUGCUGACUUGACUUGGUAUCUGCACUGGGCCAGGCAGCGGGGAGGCAUUUUGUGGAUUUUGUCUCAGUUAACUCUUAAACAAUUCUCACAGGUAGUGUCCCAAUUUACCUCUGAAGAAAUUAGACCCCAGGGAGUUAGGGGUUAGUCAAUUGGUCCAAGAGGUUAGAGCUGAUAUGGAGAGUCACAAUAUAAUACCGCGU